AAGUAAUUUCUAUGACCACUUGGUUUGUCUGUCGAUGAAGAGAGUCUGGCUAUCCACACGAACUGAUGCGGAUUGCAGGACUCAGUGAACACUGACUCUUCGAAUGCACAUUGUGGCCGUGGAGUCCCAUCGUCCCAGGGCCCCGUCCGGUUGAGAGGUC
rfam:Octopus bimaculoides Scaffold31999_contig_94, whole genome shotgun sequence.